AGUGAACGCUGGCGGUAGGCCUAACACAUGCAAGUCGAACGGCCGCACAGUAAGCGCUUUCUUUUACCGGUGGCGAGUGGCGGACGGGUGAGGCAUACAUCGGAAUCUAAUUUUUCGUGGGGGACUACGUAGAGAAAGUGACGCUACUACAGCACACGAUCUACGGCUGAAAUCAGUGGAUCUUGGCAGCUUGGCCGUUUCAAUUAGCCGGUGCCGGAUUAGCUAGUCGGCGUGGUAAAGGCCCACCAAGGCAACGAUACGUAGCCGAUCUGAGAGGAUGAUCGGCCACACUGGAACUGAGACACGGUCCAGACUCCUACGGGAGGCAGCAGUGGGGAAUAUUCGGCAAAGGGCGCAAGCCUGACCCAGCCAUGCCGCGUGGGUGAAGAAGGUCUUCGGAUUGUAAAACCCUUUUAUUAGGGAAGAAAAACAGUGGGAGUAUACCCCGAUGUUUUGACGGUACCCAAUGAGAAAGCACCGGCUAACUUCGUG
rnacentral:rRNA from 1 species